UACGUAGGUCGCAAGCGUUGUCCGGAUUUACUGGGCGUAAAGAGCGCGCAGGCGGCUGGUCAAGUCCGAUGUGAAAUCUCCCGGCUCAACUGGGAAACUGCAUCGGAAACUGAUCGGCUUGAAGGUGGGAGAGGGUAGUGGAAUCCCGGUGUAGUGGUGAAAUGCGUAGAUAGUCGGGAGGAACACCAGUGGCGAAGGCGACUACCUGGCCCAUUCUUGACGCUGAGGCGCGAAAGCUAGGGGAGCGAACGGG
rnacentral:rRNA from 1 species